GAUGAACGCUGGCGGCGUGCCUAAUACAUGCAAGUCGAGCGAACAGACGAGAGUGCUUGCACUCUCUGACGUUAGCGGCGGACGGGUGAGUAACACGUGGGUAACCUACCUAUAAGACUGGGAUAACUUCGGGAAACCGGAGCUAAUACCGGAUAAUAUUUAGCUUCGCAUGAAGCAAUAGUGAUAGACGGUUCUGCUGUCACUUAUAGAUGGACCCGCGGUGUAUUAGCUAGUUGGUGAGGUAACGGCUCACCAAGGCAACGAUACAUAGCCGACCUGAGAGGGUGAUAGGCGACACUGGGACUGGGCCACGGCCCAGACUCCUACGGGAGGCAGCAGUAGGGAAUCUUCCGCAAUGGACGAAAGUAUGACGGAGCAAUGCCGCGUGAGUGACGAAGGUUUUCGGAUCGUAAAACUCUGUUGUAAGGGAAGAACAAGUACGUUAGUAACUGAACGUACCUUGACGGUACCUUACCAGAAAGCCACGGCUAACUACGUG
rnacentral:rRNA from 1 species